AUUGAACGCUGGCGGCAGGCUUAACACAUGCAAGUCGAGCGAGCGGCGGACGGGUGAGUAAUGUCUGGGAAACUGCCUGAUGGAGGGGGAUAAAUACUGGAAACGGUAGAUAAAACAGCAAACCACAAGAUGUGCCCAGAUGGGAUUGGCGAGUAGGUGGGGUAAUGGCUCACCUAGGCGACGAUCCCUAGCUGGUCAGAGAGGAUGACCAGCCACACUGGAACUGAGCCACGGUCCAGACUCCUACGGGAGGCAGCAGUGUGGAAUAUUGCACAAGGGGCGCAAGCCUGAUGCAGCCAUGCCGCGUGUGUGAAGAAGGCCUUCGGGUUGUAAAGCACUUUCAGCGAGGAGGCGUUACUCGCAGAAGAAGCACCGGCUAACUCCGUGCCAGCAGCCGCGGUAAUUC
rnacentral:rRNA from 1 species